UCUCCGUAGGUGAACCUGCGGAGGGAUCAUUAGUGAGUGAGGGCGCAAGCCCGACCUCCAACCCCAUGUAAAUCAUACUAUGUUGCCUCGGGGGCGACCCGGCCCUUUUGGGCGUCGGGGCCCCCGGAGCCCAUCAAACCCUGCGUAACUAAGUCGUCGGAGUUUAAACAAAUUAAACAAAACUUUCAACAACGGAUCUCUUGGUUCGGGCAUCGAUGAAGAACGCAGC
rnacentral:misc_RNA from 1 species